GUAGUGUCUCCAGAUCCUCAGAGCAAACAUAACUGCUCCUAGCUCAAGAUCAUGGGUGGUGUAGUUAACCUCAUCUGUCAUCAGCUGUCUCGAGGCAUAUGAUAUGACUUUACCUCGCUGCAUCAGAACACAUCUGAGUCCUUGGUUUGAUGCAUCAUAAUAGACAACGAAGUCUUCUAUCCCUCCGGGGAAGGAUAGUAUUGGUGCGGUGCACAAGGCUCGCUUGAGCGUUUGGAACGCUCUUUCUUGUUUCUCUUCCCAGUCAAAGGCCAUGCCUUUCUGGGUCAGUGUUGUAAGAGGUUUCGCUAUGCGUGAGAAGUUCUGAAUGAACCUGCGAUAGUAGCCAGCGAGACCUAGAAAUUGACGAAUUUCUGUAGGUGUCUUCGGUGCUGAGCAGUUCUCAAUGGCCUUGAUUUUGGAAGGGUCCACGUGUAUUCCUUCUUCGCUAACAACAUGGCCCAAAAAUUCGACUCGUCGGAUCCAAAAUUCGCACUUGGAGAACUUCGCAUAGAGCUUCUCCGCUUGCAAUGUUUCUAAGACUCUACAGAGAUGUUGACUAUGUUCCACCUUACUUCGAGAGUAGAUGAGUAUGUCAUCAAUGAAGACGAUGACGAACUGAUCCAAGUAAGGUCGACACACCCUAUUCAUCAGAUCCAUGAAUACUGCGGGCGCAUUAGUUAAUCCGAACGGCAUCACUAUAAACUCGUAGUGUCCAUAACGAGUUCGGAAGGCUGUCUUCGGAACAUCCUCCUCUAGCACUCGUAGUUGGUGAUAUCCGGAUCGUAGAUCUAUCUUCGAGAAGUAGUUGGCUCCAUGAAGUUGAUCAAAUAAAUCGUCAAUGCGGGGUAAAGGAUAACGUUUUUUAAUGGUAAGCUUGUUGAGUUCUCUAUAGUCGAUGCACAUGCGAAACGAUCCAUCUUUCUUCUUGAAGAACAAGACCGGUGCUCCCCAUGAUGAGAAGCAUGGCCUAAUGAAUCCCUUCUUGAGAAGUUCGUUAAGCUGACUGGAAAGUUCCUGCAUCUCGGCCGGUGCCAGACAAUAAGGAGAUUUGGCUACAGGAGUAGCUCCUGGCACUAAGUCGAUUCUGAACUCGACUUGGCGUUGUGGUGGUAAUCCGGGAAGUUCUUCUGGGAAGAUGUCGGGAAAAUCGCGUACUUCUGCGAUGCUCUGAAUGUCUUUCAUUUCUUGACUCGUAUCGACGACGUGUGCGAGGAAUGCAUGAUAUUCCUUUCGCAAUCAUUUCUGGGCUUGAAUGCACAAAAUGAUGCGAAGGCUCGUACUAGGUUUGUCGCCGUAGAUGACCAAGGUUUCGUUGUUAGGAAGGUUAAGACGAACUGCUUUUUCAAAGCACAUGAUGUCGACGCGACGAAGACUCAACCAAUCCAUGCCGAUGAUAACGUUGAAACAGUUAAUUGGGAUCGGCAUGAGGUCUAUCUUGAAAGUACGACCAUCUAAAGUUAAAGUACAACCUAAGUAUAUGCAGUUAGUACUCUCCGUUUUCCAAUUAGACAUUUCAACCGUGAAUGAAUUAUCUAAUGCACAGGGUUUUUGUUUAAGCAGGUGUGUAAAUUUAUGACUUACAAAACUUUUCUCUGCUCCACUGUCGAAAAGUAUGCAAGCAUAUGAGUUAUCGAGGAGAAACGUACCAGUAACUAUCGUAGGAUCAGCUACCGCUCCCUCGUGGCCUAGGGCCAUAACUCUUCCUACUCCUCCAGCCAUCCCCUCUUUAGGGCAGUUCCUCUUGUAGUGGCCCACUUCGCCACAACCAUAGCAAGUUUGCCCAUACCGGCGUUAGGAACCUGGGCGACCUGAGCUGUUGCAGUCUUGCAGAAACGGGUGGUAUGCCCCUUACUGUUGCAGUUAGAGCAUUGUAUCUCCCUGCAAGGUCCGUGGUGGUGGAAGCUGCAUUUGUUGCACUUCGGGAGAGUUCCAGCAUAAGUUUUUGCUGGUAAGGGGUUCGCAGGGACAACGGGAGUUACCAUGGCAGCAUUGACUGCCACAAGUUGUUGUCUCUUGGAGGAUUCUUGCGAAGCCCCUAUUUUCCUCUUGUUCCACCCUUUCUUGUUAUUGUUGACCUGUUGGUUAUGUGCUUUCCCGUGAUCUAUGAGCGAUUGUGCCAGUUCCUUGGCACUAUCGAAGGUGGAAGGAUUGGAAGCUAACACACUUGACUGGAUCUGGGGCGACAGUCCCCAGAUAUAUCUCUCUAUCUUCUUGCUUUCGAGAACAAUCAUAUCAGGGCAUAGGAUUGCCAGAUCACAAAAUCUAUUUGUGUAGGUUGAUAUGUCGGAUCCAACCAUUUGUAGACAUCAGAGUUCCUGUUCGAGUUUUUGUACUUCGCCACAAGGAUAGUACUCUCUCAUCAGCAUGUCCAUCAAGUGUUCCCAACUGAUGGAAUAUGCCACCACUAAAGUCAGAUACUUAACAUGGCCGUUCCACCAUGUUAGUGCUCUGUCAGAGAAGGUACAAGCUGCAAACUUGACCUUGUUGCCCUCUUGGCAAGCACAGAUUUCAAAGACUGAUUCCAUCUUUUCAAUCCAUUUCCUUAACACCAUAACCCCACCAGUUCCAUUGAAGCUGCGGGGUUUGGCAUUCGUGAAGUCCUUGUAGGUUCAGUCCCGGGGAUGUCCAUGGCUUUCGCCGUGCUUAGAGGGAGGUGCGUCUGUUCCCGAUCCACUAGGGACUGGAGCAUUGAUGGNCAGCUGCUACGGCUGCUGUGAAGGCUGCCUGGAACAUAGUGGCAUCGAAAGGAGGAGGUGGUUGAGGAGGUUGAGGUUGUGGUGGAGGUGGUGGUAUCGGUGUUUCGUUAUUUGGGUUACGCCUGGGAUUUCUGCAUGGCGGCAUAUUUAACUAUACGUUUAAAAGAUGACGACAUGGAUAAGAAUAAAUGAACAAUGAAUGUGUCUCAUGGACUAACUCUCCAUAGUCCAACAACAAAAUGAAUAGUAUGACUAAACGAAGAUGAUAGCAUUUGGAUAAUAAUUUGCAUAUGAUUAGAUAUCUGUCAAUAAUACUGGGAUUACAGAUGUANACAAGUUUGGGAAAAAUGGCCUAUAAGUAGGCCUUACAUCAACCAAGAUAGGAAAAUUUUGACAGAACUAUGACUAGAUCAAUACCUAACAGUCUAAGAUUUACAAAGAUAGGAAAUUAGACCAAAGUUUUUACAAAAACUAGGUUAUAUCCAAAAGAUGAGUCGUCGAGAUUCUAUCGGCGAUGAGAACUGCUAGCAUGAGUUCUUGAUAUCGAUAGCAGACAUUCUAUGUCCUUUAUACGCCCGUCAGCUCUCACUUGCUGAGCCUGAUGUUCCCUAACUUCAGCUUGAGUUUCAGCAAGUUCUCUCUGUAGAGCUGCAUUGCGGACCAGAGUCCUUUCAUGAGCAUACUCUAGUUGGCGAAUGUGGACAGUGUUAAUGCCAGAGUUGGUGUCGAUCUCCAAGACUCGAUUGAUAGUUGAUUGACCCAGUAUCGUGUUCCUAGAAAUUCUACGAACCAUGAUGGGUAGGACCCUGUCAGCAGAACCUCCUUCAGUGAGGUUGUAGAAAAUUCUGUGUCCGUUGUAGGGAAUGGGUUGACCCUGUUCCUGACUCCAUCUAUUCAAGUUAGUGGCCCACAAAGGUGUGGGUCCUUGAAAUGCGGGUCGGGGGUUCAGGUUUGGGUCUUGAGCAGCUGGGGGUAGGUUGUUGACUUCAGGCUCCGAGUCAGAACUAUCGGAAAAACCCUCAACAUGGUGAUCAUCCAAAGGGAUUGGGUGAUCAUCUUCUAGUUCUUCCUCUAGCCAUCCAGCGUUUCCUUGUUUUGGGAAGUAUGGAUCGCCGUGAUGAAAUCUAGCCAUUAAUAUCUACGCGAGAAAAGGGAUAUAAGAAAUAGCUAAAUAGACGAACUGACUAAGACAAUUACAGUAAGAUCAAAUACCCCUAUGGUAUUUCUUUAUGGUUGUGCUGGUAAGUUUUUAGACUUGUUGCCACAUCACAACCAUUCUUGGGCAUAUGCCAAUCNCGGACCAGCAUAGUUGAUCAGGCUAUGCCAUUCCCAAGACUGACCAUAUAUCCCCAGACUUACUUGUGAUAUUCAACAAUCGUAAUACUUUUGUUCUUAUCAUUGUGACACUGAUUUUAGUAUGAAUGCAGGCACGUAUACUUACUUAAAUAUUUUAUUAUUCAGAAGUAUAAACUCUUAGAUAGAGUGUUUUAAUCCCAAUGUAUUUAUCGUAAGUAUAUCUUUUAUGGGUUGAUAUACAAUAUUCACUAUAAACAAUGCUCUGAUACCAAUCUGUCACACCCCAAAACCGAGAAUGGCGGAAACGUUCCGGGGUGGAGGACAUCAUGUACAGUAUCACAACAGUGUAAAGUACUAAACAAGCAACAACAUCAUCCAUUGCAUUAAAAGUAAAGUUUUAAUACAUUUGUGUUCUUUCAAUGUAAUAAGACACCAAAAUAUACAAUCCAAAUAAAAGACGAGUCUUGUCUGUGCUCCGUCUUCUCAAAACCUGGCCAUCGUACAUGUCUACUGGUGACCUGAGAAUACAGGUUAUUUUGAAAAUGAGUAUCAUCCUAUAGCUGGUGAAUUCAUAAGUACUUAAGUUUCAUUGUCUUGUUUAGGAAAGCUGUUAUGUAUGCUAUCUAAAUCUUUGAAUGAUACAGAUGAUACAAGUAUGAAAACCCUAGAAAAUCCAUUAUUUCCUACUAGUAUGAAAUGUAGUCUUCCUAGUAUGAAAUGUAGUCUUCUAGCAAGACUCGAAUGUUCUGUUAUAAAAAUGAUAGUGUUUCCUUCCUUUUUGACUAUUACUAACAGUACUUAGUCUAGCUCAUCUUUUAUGUGAAUGUAUCACAAAAUAAAGUAAUAGGAAUAAUGUAAUUAUGUAAUUGUUAUCCUUUUGUAUUAGGAUUAACACGACAUCACGGAAAGCGAAAUGUAUAAACUUUGAACAUCCGUUGAUUGCUCAAUUUUCCUCUGUAGCUACAGCAGGUGGGAGGAAGGGUUAGUCCCAUAAAAGUAUUCCUAAUAUAAGUAUUAACCGUAGGCAUCUGUAGAUGUUCAUCAACCUCUGUAGCGAACAGUAGGCCCAUGGAAUGGUUAGUCCCGUAAAAGUACUCCUAAUAUAAGUAAUAACCUUAGGCAUCCGUAGAUGGUCAUCAGCCACUGGUGCUAACAGCUGGGAUUAGGAAUGGUUAGUCCCAUCUAGAUAUCCUGUUGAACUGCGAUAGGCAGGACAAUUUACACAGAAGGUACUACUAAAUCAUCCUCGUAACUCUAGGUACAAGUAUCCAUGUAAGUGUAUACAUGAAAAUGUAUCUAUGUAAAGGUACUCAUGUAUGUUAUUCAUGUAAGCGUAUUCAUGUAAGUGUAUUCAUGUAAGCGUAUUCAUGUAAGCGUAUCUAUGUAAGCGUAUUCAUGUAAACGUGUCUAUGUAAGCGUAUUCAUGUAACAUGUAAUGUAUAGUAUAGACUCAUGAAUGAACUGACUCUGAUGUAAUUCCUUGUAAUAGGAAUAAUGUUAUGUAUCUCCAAAUUAUCCCUAUAAUAGUUAACUGGAAGGUAAUUGAUUGUCCAAAUAGGUUUAUACACCAUUGCUAUACAAGGGUGAGGGAAACUGAAUGAAGGAUGAAAACUAUAACAUCAAUACAUAUAUAAGAACAUAAGUGUAUAGAUAUAGUUUUGUUCAAGAAUGUAAAAAUGGUUUUGUAACACGUUUAUGAGUUUUGAACAAUAAUUAACAAUGACUUGAUGUCAUUUUAAUAAACAUUUCAAAUGUAAUACUUUUGCUACCAAGGUAUUUUUAAGACAGAAAACCAUUUCAUGCAUCACAUUUUGAAGUAUGUGAAAUCUACUAGAUGAAAACCCAUUUAUAAAUACAUAUGAUUGAUUUGAUAACAUGCUGUUUUCUAAUUGUAUUCCCCCCAUUAAAGCAUUUAAUAUCAUUUAAAAUGUUGAUUAAGGGGUAUGAACUCACCUGCAGAUGGUGAUUUGGAUGAGCUGAACGGUGUAGGAUUGUUAGGUGUCAAGUGAGGACUUGUACACACACUAUGAUCCUAAUGUACAUAUAAUCACACAUAUAUGCACCCAAUUAGUCUUAAACUACUAAUUGAAAAUGUUAAGACAUCCUAGAACAUGAUAAACACUUUAUAUAAGUGUUACAAUCCCUAAGGAUUGCAUCUAAGUUGUUGUGGGACAAGGCAAUUUGGUUUAGGGUUCCUAAGGAUCAUAUACAUGAGUUUACUCUCCAAUAAACCUCACACAAGUAGUUUAUGGUCGUAAACCCUUGAGUUUACGGCCGUAAGCUCCUAAGCUUAAUGACAUUUUAUGUUUUGAAGUGUUACAUGAUCCCUAGAAGCAAUUCUACUUGGUUGUUUAAUCCAUGGAAGAGUUUACGGCAUAGAUACACUCCUUUGAGGAUUUUACGGCCCCAAGGCCAUUUCCUUUUGAGUUUACUAUCGUAAACUCAUAUGGAAAGGGAUAUUUUAUGCUUUCAAGUCCCAUGCUCGCCUAGGAUAGGUUCUAGACAUUUAUCUAAGGCUAAUGAAGGCCUUAGGCACACUUUGGUACCCUUCUUUGAUGCUCACGGCCCAAAGACCAUUUACAUAAGAGAUUACGGUUGUAAUCUCUCUUUGGGAUGGGUCUUUGAUGUUUUAAGGUGCUUGAUUUAACUGGGAGUAAAUCUAGGUAUUUGUCCAAGGCUUUAGGAGUGGUUAAGGCACUCUUUUGCCCUUGAGUUUGGAGUUCACGGUCCAAGAACUUCUUGGGCCGUGAACACGUUACUCUUGGUGUCCGUGGAUGAUUUCAAGUCUUAUUUACCCUAACAUACAAGCCUAAGGUAGUUAUAUAGCAAGGGGAAAGGACUAGGCAUCAUUUUAAGAGUUUACUCCCCAAGGUGUUCUUGGGCGGUAAACUCUCGAAUCUAGUUGUUUUGUUAUGAAAUCGAUGUUAUUAAGCACAUUAAUAGCUAUAUAAUACAACUAGAGAGAGGUACUCACGAUUUGGGAUGAAAACCAGAAGAUCCGUGAAAGAGAAAAUGGCUUUUCUCUAGUUGGAAAUGUAACUAAUGAAUGAAAAUGGUUCAGAAUUCUAUAUAUAGUCCUGGGAUUUUUUGCAGAAAAUAUUUUAUUCCCAAAAUGAACUCUAAUUUAAUAGAGUUUCGAAAUAACAGAGUUGCAAAAAACCCUAGUGCUUCCACUCUCUUGAUAUCUCCUUAAGUGUAAACCCUGAAAUACUCAAACUUAUACGGAAAAGUCUGAAAAUUUACUGUGACUGUUCUAACUUCUAUUGACUUGAUAAUGUUCGUAUAGGAUGGAAAUUUCGGGUUGUCACAGGUUCUGAUAGCAACUUGUAACAACCCAAAAACUUGAUAAAAUUUUACAUUUUCAAUUAAGAAAUACAGCCAUAAUUUUUUUCCAAAAUUCAUUACAAAAUAAACAUGUCAAACUAUCAGAGUAACAACCUCAGUAAGUGCGGAAAAUAAUGGAGAGUAAAUAUUGUGCCAUUAAGUCGGGACUUUCCAUUUAAUACUGGAGUACGUGAAACCACAAUACAAAUUGUAAGCAAAAGCUUAAUGAGUUUUUUUAAAAUGUCACACAACAUACUAACAACUUCCACGGGCUACCCCUAUUGUCUUUUUCCAUAAAAUGUCAAGGGCUACCCCCAUGGUCUUCCAUACAAGUGCCCUCGGCUACCCCAGAUGUCUUUCAGACAAGCAACCACAUAAACAAUUAUCAUUCCUCAUGACAAGUAAUGGGCCGACAUUGGUGCCUUCCACCCAUGAAUAGAGUGAGAAGAAUCACCUCAACUGUUGAAAUCCCAAACAAAUACUCAGGUUGCUAGGCUGAAUAAAAUCUCAUGCUAACUAAACAAAUAGGUCCCAAACAAUAAGGUAAAAUUCUGAACUAAGACUUCACAUAAAAAUAUAAUGCCCUAGAUGGGAUGGGUCAAACUAGUCCCAAAGCCCAUAAAUAUCCAAAGUCCAACCAAAUGGACCAAUUAAGGCCCAAGAGGGCCCAACAACUGGGAAAUCCAUACAGAAAAAUACCCAAGGCUCAAACCCAUUAACCAUGCCCAUAAACUUGGCCCAAAAUGCAAAUACCCCAAAUCUAGGCCGUACGCUCAGCGUACAUAGUGGUACGCGAAGCGUGCCAAGUCGUGGCUGGAAAACGCGACCAAUGGAGCCAGAACGCACGGCGUAUGCAUCCCCCAUGAAACCAUGCAAAAGUGACAUAACCACUUAAGUCCUUAAGCCUAAAAUCUAGAUCAAAACUCCUUAAGCCCAUUAAGGCCAUAAAGUUGCAUACUUUAUGCCUUUGGACAAAUACCAAAACCCCAAACUCAAAAUCCUAACUUAUCACACCAAAAACUACACUCUAGCACAUGAAAGGGGACACAACAAGGUUAAAGGUUGCACCUUUAUAGGAUGAAACGACUAGGAGCUUCUAAAAACACAACGUGGGAGCUUAGGAGUAGCUCAUACUCACCAAGCUCUAAUAUUUGUGGACAAAAUAGGGAAACCUAAAGCCAAAGUGGAACUUAAUGGUAUGCAACAAAAGGUUGGAGCUUUAUACCUUCUAAUGGAGCAAAAUAAAGAUGAGAAUUUGGAUCCAAACUCUAGAGGGCAAGGCUUCCUUAUUGAUCAACCUACUUCACCACCAAAAGCACACUUUAACACUCAAAAUCUCCAAAAAGCGGAAAAUACACUAGGGUUUGCUAAGAGAGUCGUGAAAGAGGAUGGAGGCUGAGUUAGGGGUGGGACUUAGGCCAUAAUGUGGUUUAAAUAGUGCACAAACCCUAAAUCUUAGGGUUUUGGUCUGAGCCUCAUACGUCCAUUGUACUGGAGUAUGCACAACGUACUCAUCCGGGACCAACUACGCUAAGUGUAUUAGGGUGUACGCCCCACGUACUCAAUUAGGGCCAUAACUUAGAGAUUUUCUAUAGCGUCCCAAAAUUUAAGGCUAAAAAUUUCUUUUAAUAAAACAUUACUUUAAGCAAAAUCAUCAAUUCAAAACAUAAACAGAAUAUUAGUUUCCAAAAUACAUGUUCGUUAUCAGAGUAAACAUUCCCAAGCUGUCUAAUCUAUGGUGUGUGCCAUGCGAUCACCCCGAGCUCUUCCCUCCGCUACCGGAAGUACCUGAAACCAAAACUGAAAACCGUAAGCACGAAGCUUAGUGAGUUUCCCACCCUACCACAUACCAUGCAUAACCACAUACUACACAUACUGCUCAUACUGGGCCACGCCCGCUAUCCUGGGCCUCGCCCGCUACAAUGACCCUGCCACUCCAGGCCCCGCCUGACUUCGAGCCCCGCUCGGUUACAGAUCUGUUUCACUUAGGCCUCGCCUGACAUAGGGCCUCGCCCACUAACAUAUAAUAGCACAUAAACAUAUCACAUCGCAUCACAUGAGCUAAACACAUACUAACGGAUCUUGUCCUAAGGCCUCGCCUAUCUCUGGGCCCUGCCCUUGUCCUGCUGCUGAUGAUUCAUGGAACCCCGUCCAUACUCCUACUGAUUGUGAGAUACGGGCCCAGCCCACACUCACUCUUUUCCUAACUCGGGCCUCGCCCGUGAUCUGCUGCUAAUGAGAUGUGGAACACCAUCCACACUCUGCUAUUGGUGAGUUACGGGACCUCGCCCACACUCACCUCCCUACCAGGCACAUACAAGCAUCACACAGACAACAAGUAUAAACUAUCACAUAAACCAUUCCUUGGGCACCCGCCCUCUAUCAUUGGACCUCGUCCCGAAUAUCAUACUAGCAUACUGUGCCUAGGGCUAACCCCCGGGUCUUCUACUCAUAACUACAUGGGUCGGCAUUAUGGCCGUAGACCCAUUCACACGAAGGGAAACUCACUUGCACUGGAUGAACUGGCUGAUGAACCCGCUAGCUGCUGCCCAACAACUCUCUGAACUUCAGCUCCACUCGCUCCCCGAACUACCAAUAUGAAUGCAACACUGAGUCUAACUGACCCUCGAAAGACUACCAAGUCAACUAUGGUUAAAGUCAAAGUCCUAGUCAAAGUCAACCUUCCAGGUUAACCCUACUCGCCGAGUCACCCCAGUGACUAGCCGAGUUCAUAUGUUUAGAGUCCUUCUCUUUGCGACUCGACUCGCCGAGUCAGUCCAUGACUCACCGAGCCUACCGAUUCCUGAGUUCUGACCUGUCCAACUCACCGAGUCUCCAAUCGACUCACUAAUUCGAGUCUAAACUCGAAGGGUUUGGGGUUUCGCGACCUGACUCGCCAAGUCCAAGAACAGACUCGUCGAGUCCAAGACAACCUUCAUCUGACUCGAUGAGCUGUUCAUCCCACUCGUCGAGUUCCUCCUCAUCUUCAUACUACUCGUCGAGUCCACUCAAAGGACUCGGCGAGUCCAUUCAGAUCUCUAUACAUGCAGAGGACUUUUGAGUCAUGCAUGGACUCCAAACUGUAGAUCUACCCUUCCCAAGCCUAUUCCUCACGUAAAGUUGCAGACUUUACGUGUAGAGAAGGAGAUCUAGGCAAAUUACACCAUUAACUAGGGUUUAAGGAAAAGAGGCUCCAUAAUCAACUCAAGGGUUGAAACUUUAUGCUUUCCAAGACCAAAAUAUACUUAGAUCUGAAGUAGCAACUCCAGAUCUGGCUUCUAACUCAAAUGGAUAACUACUCAUGGCUAAAAGCCCCAAACCUCACAACCAAAAUAGAUCUAAAGAAAGGGAAAUGACUUAAUACCUUCAGAUGUUCAUAAAUAUCUUCCCAAUCUCAGAUCUAUAGCCCCCCCCCCUCCUUGCCCUUUCAAGAUCCUUCUUCCUUUCCCAAGCUUAAAUGCACUCCUCAAGACAAUAAUUAGCUCAAAAACGGAUAUGACGGCUAGGGUUUGAUGUUCUAGGUUAGAGGGGCUGCAAAGGAACCCUAGGGAAGAGAAUGAGGCGCUUAAAUAGGCCCCAAGUCCCAAAUUUAGGGUUUUCCUCGAACAGACCUGACUCGCCGAGUCUCCUUGGCCGACUCGCCGAGUCGGUCACUUACUCUUCGACCUGGAUCCCGCUUGGACUCGCCGAGUCCCCCUUAAAGUUAGGGUUUUCUUUCCUUUCUUGGCCUUCAAAACUUUGGGUGUUACAACUCUCCCCCACUUAAACUAAACUUCUUCCUCGAAGUUUGCUAUGGCCCACCCCCUGCGAUCUGCUUUCAAAACCCACCAAAUAUCCCAACACCAGCUGCCUACCUUCGCUGGUCUUCCACCCGGUCAUUCUGACUAACAUAAUCCUCGCGGAUAAAAAAAACUCGGGUCGAACCUGACCCUGAACAUCCUGGAAACACAACUUACUCACCGAAAAUCCUUCUGGUACUCCCCGAGUACUGCACUGAACCUAUAGGGGUUCACCCCUUCUUUCCUCACACGAUUUCCUUGCCUUCCCAAGGCGAUGCUCCAAAAACAACUAUCUCUUCUAUCACUGUGAAGAUCCUAUCUUCACCAAUCCGUUAUUCUCGCUAAAUCCAGUAUGGGUCAUCACCGCCAGUAACCACUGAAACUCCUCUCUGUCAUAACUUGGUGUCGAGCACCCCUCGACUCAACUAACUGAAUUCCACCAUAAACUGCUUACCCGCACUACUACUGACUGGAAAUUUCUGCCAUUCCUCAUCUGCCUUCCGGAUGAACUGAGACCACUCUGGUUCUUACCAACCUAUCAAUAUCUGGAUUACCGGCUCCCACCGGUAGCUAGUCCCAACACCUCCACUAGUCGCUCCCAGCGACUUCCGAAGAACUUCGACCACCUGUAACUGCUCAAUCUAUUCUACCAUUCAGGCACUACAAACCUGGGAUCCCCGAUCCCUUAACUUGACACUAAGGUCCCUACAAGGUCCCACCUACGCUGCUAAAACUCACGGGUCUCGCCCACGGGUCCCACCCGCCCCUAUCCUUCUAGUCCCACUAGGCUAAACACUCUCGCUCGGGCCUCGCCCACGGGUCUCACCCAACCACACUACUGAGCAACCCUGCCCUCAGGUCUCGUCUACACUGCUAAUCUCAUACGGGCCUCGCCCAUGGGUCUCAUCCAACUAUAUUGUGGAGCGGCCUCUCCCAAGGUCUCACCUCUCUAGGGCUAUACAGGCAGACUCCCUAUCAUCCUCAUUCACUACCCAUUCUUGAUCCCUGUCUGAUCACUGGGAGGUGUCACACCCCAAAACCGGAACGGCGGAAACGUUCUGGGGUGGAUGACGUCAUGUCAAGUAUCACAACACAUGCAUUAUAGUAAUCAAAGUACAACAAAACAUUGCAUUAAUAGUAAUAGUUUUACAUAGUUUACAUAACAGUACAACAAAGUAAUACAGGUAAUAAUAUAAGUGCAGCUUGGCACAAAAUAGUCUUCAACAGAAACUCCUGGAUUGUACCUGUCUAAUGCUGACCUGAGAAUACAAGUUAUUUGAAAAGCGAGUAUCAGCAUUUUUUCAAAUGCUGGUGAGUUCAUAAGCAUUUAGUGACAUUUUAUUCAAAUAACUUUAUAUAAGUAGUAGUUUUCAAGUAUACAGUGAAAUAGUGUCCUUUCCAGAAAAUCCUAUAUUUUCUACUUAAAAUGCAGUCUUCUACCAAGACUGGUCAGAGUUAUGUGGUAAAAGUAGUUUUUCCUUAAACACUUUCAUUUUUAAAAAUUCAGAAUUUUCUUUUUAAGAAAGUCGGAGAAUAUCAGGGAAAAUAACAUAUGCCUCAGCAGUGAGGAUUGCUGACUUAGGCUAAAGGAAUCAUAGACUCCAGAAGAGUAUCGAAUGAACGACACAUCUGGCUCAGUCUAACAGAAAGAAACAUAGACCCCAGACUCUACCAAAUAAAAGGUACAUCUAGUAAGGUCUAAAACAGUGAACACAGACCCCAGACAGUAUCAACUCAAUGAUACGUCUAGCAAGGUCUAAAACAGUGAAUACAGUGGAUACAAUGAAUACAGACCCCAGAAAGUAUAAAAUGAAUGAUACUUCUAGCAAGGUCUAAAACAGUGUGACCCCGAGAGUGGGUUUCCAGCAUAUAGUGUAAAUUGCUGGUGAAUUACCAUUACCUUAAGGCCAUGAAUUAUAAGGUAACCUGGGAUACUCGUAACCAUACUAACCGACACUAGAGUACCUGACACCCUAAAAGCNCGCCCUACAAGCGUCUAUAAAAUAUGACAUUUGUCACCGCUUGGCUUGGUGGGCCGUGGACUGUAGCUAGCAGUCAGGGUGCGGGGGUGUCAAUCUCGUAUAGAUCUAUACACACAAUAUCCGCUCUCCCUACAGGAGACUCUGGUUACCAACUAGACAACGGAGAAGGCCGCAUCCCGAAGAUACAUCCCAAAGAGUGGGUAGUGGGUUUCAUAUGUAAGUGUUGAACUAGAGGUAGAGACUCAUAACUGAACUGACUAGAGCAAACCUAUAUGUCUAUGCUCAUACACAUAACAUAUAACUAAUGAAUCAAACAACCUUCGGACGGCCAUCCGAUCCCACCAGACAACAUCUCAACGAAGAAAAGGAAAUAGGGCGACAAGCCUUCCUAAGUCCUUCAAUCAUUACUUAUAUGCAUCUAAACAAGCACAUACAUACAUCUAACUACGCUUGAGUGUGUAACAAGUGGAUUUAUAUCGUGAAGUAUAAGUGUACAGUGUGGAAUAACCGAAUCGUGAAGUAUAAGCGUACCAAAUGUAAGUGUAUCACGAAGUAGAAGCGACAACAAGUGAACUAGGAGCGUAUCGAGUAUAAGUGAAGUAGAAGCGAUAUCAAGUAUAAGUGAAGUAUAAACGUAUCACUAAGUAAGAGUGUGAACAAGUAUAAGCGUCUAACAGGUAUAAGUGUAUCACGAAGUGGAAACGUUAUCGAGUAAGAGUUUAAACUAGGUAAAAACGAAGCAGCGGUAUCUAACAAGUAAAAGUAAAAGUAUACGACAUGAAAGAGAACUUUGAUGAAAACCUUUGGAAAAACCUUUAUCCUUAAGAAAAUUACAACAGGGUAUUCUUCGGUAAAAUAAAUUUGAAAAGCCUUUAGAAAUUCUUUGGAAACUUUUCAUAAACCAGUUUAAAUUGUCUUUUGAUAAAACAAUAUAAGUAAGAGUUUGAACAAGUGAAAAACUUUUUGAAAGUCAUUUAUAGUAUCCUACUUGGUAAAACAGUGUACAGUAUGGUAAAUCCUUAUGCAUGUGGGUUAUUAAUAACAUAUGAUAACCGGCAUGUUUAACUUGUAUUCCCCCCCUAUAAAACAUGUGAAAACAUUUAAAAGGUUCAUUCAGGGGUAUGAACUCACCUUCUGUAAGUGGAUCCGACGAAGGCGUCGGUUGAGUGCUCGGUGUCAAUUAAAGAGUUGAACACACCUAGUGACCUAUUCAACAUAUGAUAACAUAUGUUAACAUACAAUUAGUACACUCAAUACUAAUUAAACAUGUAUACGCACUCUAAGGAGCGGAAAACUCUUUGGUUAAGUGUUUGGGGUGUCCCAAGUAACAUUUAAGGGCUCAAAUGGCUUAGGAAUGGAGUUUACUCUUCAAGAGUAAACUCACCUUAUGGUGUUUACGACCCAGGGACAACUCCCCAUGAGUUUACGGCCGUAAACUCAUGGUGAGGGGUUCUAGGGUGUUUUAAGGGCUCUAUAUUGUUCGUGGAAUUUUGCUAGGUCAAAAUCCGGAAGGUAUGAAUGGGUUUAGGGAUUUUAAAGGGACCAUAGGGGAGUUUACGGCCCAUGAAUCACCCCUAUGGGAGUUCACGGCCGUGAACUCCUACACCUUGAUUUUAUUGAAGUUUUAAGUCCCUAUUCCAACCCUAGUAAUUUAUAAUGAGGUAUGAGGCCAUUUGGGGGGAUUAAAACCAUCAUUUGUCUUGAUUUGAAGGUGUUUAUGGCCUUGGCAUAUUUCUGGGCCGUAAACUCCUUUUAAUCCCUAAAUUCCUUGUUUUUGAAUGCUCUAAACCCAAAAUAGCAAGCCCCUAAUUUAUGUAUUAAGCCUAAGGGUGGUUUGGGAGUGUGUUUGGGGCAUUUCUGCAAGGUUUAGAGGUGUUUACGACCUAAGCAUGUGCUUGGGUCGUAAACUCUCUUUUAUGCCCUAAACCCUUGUGUUUUGAUGAUUAAACACUCCUAGGCUAAAUCCUCAUUUAGUUUCCAAGCUUUUAGGGACAUUUUUGGGUCAUUUUGGCCUCGUUUUAGGGGUUUACGGCCUAAGGAGGCUCUUAGGCCAUAAACUCCUUUUCAACAGCUUAAAUGGUCUAAUUUUGAGCUAUAAUCACGAGUCAUGAUGUUUAGAAUAGGUUAGGAUAAAGAGACUUACGUUUAGGAGGCGGAAAUUUGCGGUUUUAAGUCGAAAACGGGUUUUAUGAGAGAGAGAGAGAGAGAGAGUAAAGAGAGAGAGUGUGUAAAGGGGUGGAAUGAAGUCCAUUCCCCCUUAUAUAUGGGUUGGAGUUGGAGCUCAGUGGGAUUCUACCCGAUACUGCCAUUAGACGGGGCUUUUGGUCGCACCCGAUUUAGUGGUCGUAAUAAUAAAAACUAACUUUUUCCAAUUAAAUGGAAAUGCAACUUAAGUGUUUUUAUUUACUUUAUUACGACUAUAACGACAUAAUAUAAAUAAAUCAAACAUUUAUUUAUUUUGCGACCUCUAGUUAACGAAACUUUUACAAAAUGGAAUGUUACGUUAACGUUAACGGGGUAAUGUAACGGAAUAACUUUGGGUUGUCACAUCAUCCCCCCAUUAGAGGGAAUUUCGUCCCGAAAUUCAGGUCUAGGCAAGGAAGUAGGUAUGAAUGACCGAGUAGAGGCAGGAGGGUACUUCCUAUUCUGUUUUUCCUCGCAUUCCGAAGUUAAUUCUAGUCUGUGUUUGUCAUUCCAACAGACCUUCACGUACGGGAUCGGGAUGCGGAUUCCGCCUUGUAUAGCUAGUGGGUUCCGACUGGUGUAUCUACAAGGUUAGGGUUCUCAAUGGUUUCUGUCACGACGAGUGGGAUACGAAGAGUGACGUCGGGUAAACACAUAUCAAGUCUAAGAAGUGGAUCGAUCGGGGUGUGAAGCUUGCAGAAUAUCCGAAAGUAGUAGCGGUCUGAAAAGGGUUGGACCAAAUCUCCAUGAGGAUUCUCAGAUGGUCCUAAGUUCUUGGAAGGGUAGAGCUUUUCACUACUUAGAACAUAGUGUACUUCUAUGGCAAGAUCAUCACUGGCAUGAUCGCCAUUACGAAGUUCCUAACAUUCUCUCUCUUACUGGUAGUGUAGUCCUUCAGGUUGGUUCUUAGGAAGCUCGGGUUGUCUUUGGUUUCGUGUUUCCUGUGAAUUGGCUUGUAGAUGCUUUCUAGAUCAUCGGAUGGCUUGUGUGUCUACGGUAUCUUUUUGUGGUAUAGUGGCUAUCUCAAUCUUGUGCAAAGUGAACCUGCACGAAUGGAUCUUGAGAUACGGAAACCCUCCGGGUCGGGGAGAUAGGGUUUCACGAUACGAGUGUUGGACUACCUCGGGAGGUGGUUCUACUAUUUCUGCGCGAGAUAGUAUUCAUGGAACACCUAGUAGUCCAACGAAUCUCUAAGACUUUGGUUUAUUCUAGUGCGGAAAGCGCAUGAUCCUGCAUAACCCCUCGCCUAACACCAAGGCUGGUGUCAAGUCUAUAAUCUCUUCGGAAUCUGGGUCAUGAGGCUUAACGUAACUACUUUCGCACUUUGAUCAAGUAUUCUUGGCCGUGGAGGUUAUUCUUUGGUUCUCGGUAUUCUAGUGUUUACUUCGGAGAAUGAAGUCUAUCGUCUACAGGGCGACGACGAUUUCCUCCAUGCGAGCGGGUGGAGGGUUAUAGGCACUACAUGUCUGCAACAGGGUGGACGAAGUGUCUGAGUAGUGCAAGCAUCUACCGCAACUACUCUUCCGAAGGUUCUGAGUUUUCUCGGUCUUGAUCAAAUCUAGUGAGUAUAGGUUCCCAUCACUCGGAACUUUAAUCUCUUUACUAACUGAGGGUGUUAGUUACUAUGUGGGCUUAACCGGUAUGACAACAAAUUUCGGAUAUGUGGUCAUUAUAGUGGCUCAACCCGCAAUGGUUCUCUUGACUCCAGCUCCUAUUUUAUGGAAUAGGAUGAAGAGCUUUACUAUGAGGUUCAUGGUAGAGCUCAUACUCGGCUUAACCACUAAUACUCGGUGUAUGCAAGCCGUAUAUAAUUGAGGUCGGCAGGAUGUUCAGUUGUGCGACUCCACCCCAGACUUACAACCCAACGAGGAAUAAGGAGUAGGGAGGAAGCACACAUCUUAAAUCUUUUUGAACUCAACUAUAUACCAGACAGUAUAAAAUGAAUGAUACGUCUACCAAGGUCUAAAAUAGUGUGACCCCGAGAGUGGGUUUCCAGCAUACAGUGUAAAUUGCUGGUGAACUAUGAUUACCUUAAGGCCAUGAAUUAUAUGGUAAUCUGGGAUACUCGUAACCAUACUAACCGACACUAGAGUACCUGACGCCCUACAAGCGUCUAUAAAAUAUGACAUUUGUCACCGCUUAGCUUGGUGGGUCGUGGACUGUACCUAGCAGUCAGGGUACGGGGGUGUCAAUCCCAUAUAGAUCUAUACAUACAAUGUCCACUCUCCCUACAGGAGACUCUGGUUACUAACUAGACGACAGAGAAGGUCGCGUCCCGAAUAUGCAUCCCAAAGAGUGGGUAGUGGGUUUCAUAUGUAAGUGUUGAACUAGAGGUAGAGACUCAUAACUGAACUGACUAGAGCAAACCUAUAUGUCUAUGCUCAUAAACAUAACAUAUAACUAAUGAAUCAAACAACCUUCGGACGGCCAUCCGAUCCCACCAGACCACAUCUCAAAGAAGAAAAGGAAAUAGGGUGGACAAGCCUUCCUAAGUCUUUCAAUCAUUACUUAUAUGCAUCUAAACAAGCACAGACAUACAUCUAACUACGCUUGAGUGUGUAACAAGUGGAUUCAUAUCGUGAAGUAUAAGUGUACAGUGUGGAAUAACCGAAUCGUGAAGUAUAAGCGUACCAAAUGUAAGUGUAUCACGAAGUAGAAGCGACAACAAGUGAACUAGGAGCGUAUCGAGUAUAAGUGAAGUAGAAGCGAUAUCAAGUAUAAGUGAAGUAGAAACGUAUCACUAAGUAAGAGUGUGAACAAGUAUAAGCGUCUAACAGGUAUAAGUGUAUCACGAAGUGGAAACGUUAUCGAGUAGGAGUUUAAACUAGGUAAAAACGAAGCAGCGGUAUCUAACAAGUAAAAGUAAAAGUAUACGACAUGAAAGAGAACUUUGAUGAAAACCUUUGGAAAAACCUUUAUCCUUAAGAAAAUUACAACCGGGUAUUCUUCGGUAAAAUAAGUUUGAAAAACCUUUAGAAAUUCUUUGGAAACUUUUCAUAAACCAGUUUAAAUUGUCUUUUGAUAAAACAAUAUAAGUAAGAGUUUGAACAAGUGAAAACCUUUUUGAAAGUCAUUUAUGGUAUCCUACUUGGUAAAAUAGUGUACAGUAUAGUAAAUCCUUAUGCAUGCGGGUUAUCAAUCACAUAUGAUUGAAAUGAUAACUGGCAUGUUUAACUUGUAUUCCCCCCCUAUAAAACAUGUGAAAACAUUUAAAAGGUUCAUUCAGGGGUAUGAACUCACCUGGUGUAAGUGGAUCCGAUAAAGGUGUCGGUUGGGUGUUCGGUGUCAAUUUAAGAAUUGAACACACCUAGUGACCUAUUCAACAUAUGAUAACAUAUGUUCACAUACAAUUAGUACACUCAAUACUAAUUAAACAUGUAUACGCACUCUAAGGAGCGGAAAACUCUUUGGUUAAGUGUUUGGGGUGUCCCGGGUAUCAUUUAAGGGCUCAAAUGGCUUAGGAAUGGAGUUUAAUCAUCAAGAGUAAACUCACCUUAUGGUGUUUACGGCCCAGGGACAACUCCCCAUGAGUUUACGGCCGUAAACUCAUGGUGAGGGGUUCUAGGGUGUUUUAAGGGCUCUAUAUUGUUCGUGGAAUUUUGCUAGGUCAAAAUCCGGAAGGUAUGAAUGGGUUUAGGGCUUUUAAAGGGACCAUAGGGGAGUUUACGGCCCAUGAACCACCCCUAUGGGAGUUCACGGCUAUGAACUCCUACACCUUGGUUUUAUUGAAGUUUUAAGUCCCUAUUCCAACCCUAGUAAUUUAUAAUGACGUAUGAGUCCAUUUGGGGGGAUUAAAACCAUCAUUUGGCUUGAUUUGGAGGUGUUUACGGCCUUGGCAUAUGUCUGGGCCAUAAACUCCUUUUAAUCCAUCACUUCCUUGUGUUUGAAUGCUCUAAACACGAAAUAGCAAGCCCCUAAUUUAUGUAUUAAGCAUAAGGGUGGUUUGGGAGUGUGUUUGGGGCAUUUCUGCAAGGUUUAGUGGUUUUUAUGGCCUAAGAAUGUGCUUGGGCCGUAAACUCUCUUUUAUGCCCUAAACUCUUGUGUUUUGAUGAUUAAACACUCCUAGGAUAAAUCCCCAUUUAGUUUCCAAGCUUUUAGGGACAUUUUUGGGUCAUUUUGGCCUCGUUUUAGGGGUUUACGGCCUAAGGAGGCUCUUAGGCCAUAAACUCCUUUUCAACAGCUUAAAUGGUCUAUUUUUGAUCUAUAAUCACGAGUCAUGAUGUUUAGAAUAGGUUAGGGUAAAGAGACUUACGUUUAGGAGGCGGAAAUUUGCGGUUUUGAGUCGAAAAUGGGUUUUUAUGAGAGAGAGUAUAAAGAGAGAGUGUAAAGGGGUGGAAUGAAGUCCAUUCCCCCUUAUAUAUGGAUUGGAGUUGGAGCUCAGUGGGAUUCUACCCGAUACUGCCAUUAGACGGGGCUUUUGGUUGCACCCGAUUUAGUGGUCAUAAUAAUAAAAACUAACUUUUUCCAAUUAAAUGGAAAUGCAACUUAAGUGUUUUUAUUUACUUUAUUACGACUAUAACGACAUAAUAUAAAUAAAUAAAACAUUUAUUUAUUUUGCGACCUCUAGUUAAUGGAACUUUUAUAAAAUGGAAUAUUCUGUUAACGGUAACGGGGUAAUGUAACGGAAUAACUUUGGGUUGUCAUAGGAGGUAAGGACAUCUCCCCAACUCCACAAACGAAGAUACUAAGGAAUGCUAUGGCUUACCCGUAGUCUUACAUCACCAUCCAUUCCUGACUACUUGUGAAUGCUACGGCUGCGCCGUAGUCUUACAACACUUCCACCACUAACUGCUAAAUACGAAGGCACCCAUGUGCCAUUAGCUCUCAAGAUCCUCAUUUCGACUCCCUCGAGUCGUACGGGCGAUUCACAACCUAAAUUCCCAACCAUGUACUAACCAUUUCCAUCACACGCACUAGCUGAUGGGGAGUGUCUCAAACUCCCAACCCUGAAAUCCUCAAUCCAUCAAACGAUGAACCACUUCUUUUCCUUCUCGGAGGUCGCACACUCAUUCUGGGUCUGCGUGCUCCUACCUUUGCACACUCGGAGGAUUCUCCCCCACUUUGAUCUUGCUUACCCCUUGUUGCUCAAUACUCAAAAAAAGUCCCAAUCCUUGCUACCAUUCCAUAGUCAAUCUGCUGAGGAACCCAAGCUUACCAUAGCUAGGGAUCUAACUAAUCCAUCUCUAACACUAUACAACUCCGAUCUAGCGGGACAUACCAAGUCCCUCCCAAACAUGCUACCGUUACUGCAUCCUAUGUAACCUUCUCCAAGAUGGCACAUCCCCACACUGCCAUUCGAAUAACCAAGGUAUGCAGAUGGCAUAUAACUCGAUCACAAUCAAUUGCUCAAAAAUAAAAUACUCAUACCGAUAAUGAUGCAGAACCAUAACAAUAUAAGCAUGCAUAAAAAAAAGAACUGAGAACAGAAAUCGCAUACUUGCAACGUCCGGUGCUGAUCGCGCCUCUAAGGUAGUCAUCUGAAAAGCUCUGCCUCAUACCGCAGGCGCCUCUGCACGGCCCUGACGGCCGUCUGUGAUCCUCAAAGUUGCAGGGGCAGGUGCCAUCACCCGUCCUGCUGAAAACAAACUGGGGCACUAGGCCUUCUUGUGGCCCCGCUGAUUGCAGUGAAAACAUAUCAAGUCUGAUCUCUGUGUCUUGGUAGUUGUACAAUCCCUGCUGAAAUCACCAGUCUGACCGCACUUGAAACAGCCAGACUCACCGCCGCUACCACUCCUGCACGCGCCCCCGUGCGCCCUGCCACACUUCCCGCAUCGGUUGCCGUCCUAAUAACCCCUCGAUCUCGAAUCCGAUCCCUUGGGCCUUUUGCCCGAACUCGCGUCUACCUGAACCUCAUCCGACUUCCUCAUCCGGAUCUGAUCCAAAUCAAUUUCCUUUUCCCUGGCCUGAGAAAUCAUAUCUUCCAGCGUCUUACAGCCGGACCUGCUCACGAACUCCCUGAUGUCAGCCCUCAACAUCUCGUGAUAUUGGGCCUUCUUCAUCUCCUCAUCCGCGACAUACUGCGGUACAAGAAGAGCCCCAGCCUCUCAUCAAGGCCAUCAUCUCAGUACGGAAGGCUCCCAGCCUCUCAUCCAAAAUCUCCAAUAUACCCUCCUUGACCGUGCCAAAGAUCACAGGAGUCUGAUCUAGCAUACUGCGCGCAACCUCAGCGGAUAUCAACUCCCUCAUUCGCUCCUCGAGCUGCUCGGCUCCUGUGCUCGAGCCUGAUCCCUCUCUGGCGCAUGAUCUGCCCACUGGUCUCUCUCGCAACGUCACCAUGCUGAAACACAUAACACAACCACUAUCAGAAUACCCAUCACUGCUACGAGACCAAACACACGCACUACCAGGUUCCCAGUCUUGUCUCGGCCUUUCCCGAAUCGAGUACGGAUCCUCUGCUUUCAGUAGUACGGGCCCAUACUACCUUCCACAUCUAUCCGUACUUUCCUCAAGAACUGCCUUGACUCUACCAGGUUCCUCUUCCACUACUGUUGCUCCCAGCACUAUCUCAUCCUAGGCUUACCCUAGGGAAACCUCUGACUCAACUCAAACCAGUCCUCAGCUGCUGAAGGUCUCCUUGUGAUGCCAAUUAGCCAUCACCUGGAUACCAUCACAUGUGAUGAGGCUUAGAUAAUCCUUCAAGUAAAAGACUCGUCCCUACAACGGUUGGAAUCAAACAAGAGCUGCGCAAUAGGACCAAAUCCAGCACUCUGAGAUUAUUCAACCCUGAUCACAUGUGACGUGUCGUAUCCACCUAAUGGUUAACUCCCAUCACUCGGAAUCCCACAAUGCACAAAGCAAGCAACAUUAAGACAAGGGAAAAUCUAACCAUAACAUACUCAAGCAAUCAUAUCCACAUAGCAAGAAUCUGAACUAGCAUGCAACGCAAACUCAUAGACUCACACAAGCUCAUAAACUCAGGUAUAACCUAAACACACUAUCCUACUACUGUCUAAUCAGCACUACUCUGCAGCUCAAAAGCACAAAUAAAAGGCACACAAGGCAUCAUCCCUAUAUCCUUAGUCCUAUUCUAACAUGCUGUUCUAUCAACUGAUAAUCAUAACAUAAACUUGUAUGGGUAUUUUAGGGUACUUACUUGAGCUCUGUUGAUUGCAUGCACCACACCCUUUUUCUCUUUUCAAAGUUCUUUUCUUUUUAAAUUACUUUUGCUUUUCUAAAACUAUUUUCUUUCCCAAAACCUCAACUGUUGAAAUCCCAAACAAAUACUCAGGUUGCUAGGCUGAAUAAAAUCUCAUGCUAACUAAACAAAUAGGUCCCAGACAAUAAGGUAAAAUUCUGAACUAAGACUUCACAUAAAAAUAUAAUGCCCAAGAUGGGAUGGGUUAAACUAGUCCCAAAGCCCAUAAAUAUCCAAAGUCCAACCAAAUGGACCAAUUAAGGCCCAAGAGGGCCUAAUAGCUGGGAAAUCCAUACGGAAAAAAUACCCAAGGCUAAAACCCAUUAACCAUGCCCAUAAACUUGGCCCAAAACGCAAAUACCCCAAAUCUAGGUCGUACGCUCAGCGUACAUAGUGGUACGUGAAGCGUACCAAGUCGUGGCAGGAAAACGCGACCAAGGGAGCCAGUACGCACGGCGUACACAUCCCCCAUGAAACCAUGAAAAAGUGACAUAACCACUUAAGUCCUUAAGACUAAAAUCCAGAUCUAAACUCCAUAAGCCCAUUAAGGCCAUAAAGUUGCAUACUUUAUGCCUUUGGACAAAUACCAAAACCCCAAACUCAAAAUCCUAACUUAUCACACCAAAAACUACACUCUAGCACAUGAAAGGGGACACAACAAGGUUAAAGGUUGCACCUUUAUAGGAUGAAAUGACUAGGAGCUUCUAAAAACACAAUGUGGGGGCUUAGGAGUAGCUCAUACUCACCAAGCUCUAAUCUUUGUGGACAAAAUAGGGAAACCUAAAGCCAAAGUGGAACUUAAUGCUAUGCAACCAAAGGUUGGAGCUUUAUACCUUCUAAUGGAGCAACAUGAAGACGAGAAUUUGGAUCCAAACUCUAGAGGGCAAGGCUUCCUUCUUGAUCAACCUACUUCACCACCAAAAGCACACUUUAACACUCAAAAUCUCCAAAAAGGGGAAAAAUACACUAGGAUUUGCUAAGAGAGUCGUGAAAGAGGAUGGAGGCUGAGUUAGGGGUGGGACUUAGGCCAUAAUGUGGUUUAAAUAGUGCACAAACCCUAAAUCUUAGGGUUUUGGUUUGAGCCUCAUACGUCCAUUGUACUGGAGUAUGCACAACGUACUCAUCCGGGACCAACUACGCUAAGUGUAUUAGGGUGUACGCCCCACGUACUCAAUUAGGGCCAUAACUUAGAGAUUUUCUGUAGCGUCCCAAAAUUUAAGGCUAAAAAUUUCUUUUAAUAAAACAUUACUUUAAGCAAAAUCAUCAAUUCUAAACAUAAACAGAAUAUUAGUUUCCAAAAUACAUGUUCGUUAUCAGAGUAAACAUUCCCAGGCUGUCUAAUCUAUGGUGUGUGCCAUGCGAUCACCCCGAGCUCUUCCCUCCGCUACCGGAAGUACCUGAAACCAAAACUGAAAACCGUAAGCAUGAAGCUUAGUGAGUUCCCCACCCUACCACAUACCAUGCAUAACCACAUACUGCACAUACUGGGCCACGCCCGCUAUUCUGGGCCUCGCCCCCUUCCUCGGGCCUCGCNGCCCUGCCGCUCCAGGCCCCGCCUGACUUUGAGCCCCGCUCGGUUACAGAUCUGUUUCACUUAGGCCUCGCCUGACAUAGGGCCUCGCCCACUAACAUAUAAUAGCACAUAAACAUAUCACAUCGCAUCACAUGAGCUAAACACAUACUAACGGAUCUUGUCCUAAGGCCUCGCCCAUCUCUGGGCCCCGCCCUUGUCCUGCUGCUGAUGAGUCAUGGAACCCCGUCCAUACUCAAGCUGAUGGUGAGGUACGGGCCCAACCCAUCCUCACCCCUUUCCCUAGCUUGGGCCUCGCCCCUGAUCUGCUGCUACUGAGCUGUGGAACACCAUCCACACUCUGCUACUGAGGAGAUACAGGACCUCGCCCACACUCACCUCCCUACCAGGNAUACAAGUAUCACACAGACAACAAGUAUAAACUAUCACAUAAACCAUUCCUUGGGCACCCGCCCUCUAUCAUUGGACCUCGUCCCAAAUAUCAUACUAGCAUACAGUGCCUAGGGCUAACCCGCGGUUCUUUUACUCAUAACUACAUGGGCCGGCAUUGUGGCCGUAGACCCAUUCACACAAAGGGAAACUCACCUGCACUGGCUAAACUGGCUGAUGAACUCGCUAGCUGCUGCCCGGCAACUCUCUGAACUUCAGCUCCACUCGCUCCCCGAACUACCAUUAUCAAUGCAACACUGAGUCUAACUGACCCUCGAAAGACUACCAAGUUAACUCUGGUCAAAGUCAAAUUCAUGGUCAAAGUCAACCUUCCACGUUAACCCUACUCGCCGAGUCACCCUAGUGACUCGCCGAGUUCAUAUGUUCAGAGUCCUAUUUGCGACUCAACUCGCCGAGUCAGUCCAUGACUCGCCGAGCCUACCGAUUCCCGAGUCCUGACCUGUCCAACUCACCUAGUCUCCAAUCGACUCACAGAUUCGAGUAUAAACUCGAAGGGUUUGGGGUUUCGCAACCUGACUCGCCGAGUCCAAGACAACCUUCAUCUGACUCGACGAGUUGUUCAUCCCACUCGUCGAGUUCCUCCUCAUCUUCAUACAACUCGCCGAGUCCACUCAAAGGACUCGUCGAGUCCAUUCAGAUCUCUAUACGUGCAGAGGACUUUUGAGUCAUGCAUGGACUCCAAACUAUAGAUCUACCCUUCCCAAGCCUAUUCCUCACGUAAAGUUGCAAACUUUACGUGUAGAGAAGGAGAUCUAGGCAAAAUACACCAUUAACUAGGGUUUAAGGCAAAGAGGCUCCAUAAUCAACUCAAGGGCAGAAACUUUAUGCUUUCCAAGACCAAAAUAUACUUAGAUCUGAAGUAGCAACUCCAGAUCUGGCUUCUAACUCAAAUGGAUCACUACUCAUGGCUAAAAGCCCCAAAACUCACAACCAAAAUAGAUCUAAAGAAAGGGAAACGACUUAAUACCUUCAGAUGUUUAGAAAUAUCUUCCCAAUCUCAGAUCUAUAGCCCCCCUCCUUGAACCUUCAAGAUACUUCUUCCUUCUCCAAGCUUAAAUGCACUCCUCAAGACAAUAAUUAGCUCAAAAACGGAUAUGGCGGCUAGGGUUUGGUGUUCUAGGUUAGAGGGGCUGCAAAGGAACCCUAGGGAAGAGAAUGAGGCGCUUAAAUAAGCCCCAAGUCCCGAAUUUAGGGUUUUCCUCGAACAGACCUGACUCACCGAGUCUCCUUGGCCGACUCGCCGAGUCGGUCACUUACUCUUCGACCCGGAUCCCGCUUGGAGUCGCCGAGUUCUUCCUUGGACUCGCCAAGUCCCCCUUAAAUUUCGGGUUUUCUUUCCUUUCUUGCCCUUCCAAACUUUGGGUGUUACAUUUUCACUUUGGGUAUCUUUCGUGAAACAAAAACAAACUUUGAGGGUUCAAAAGCAAACCUGAAUAUUUCUAGAUGUUACAACAUGCAAGGACCAUUUCCCUUUAGCUUUUAUAGAGCAAGUGAUUGAAUGAUUAUCUGGUCACAAAUUCUAUUGUUUCUUAGAUGUUUUUUUAGGAUAUUUUCAAAUUCCUAUUGAUCCGAGGGAUCAAGAGAAGAUGAAACUCACAUGCCCAUAUGGAACAUUUUCCUACAGACGAAUGUCGUUUGGGUUAUGCAAUGCACCUGCCACAUUUCACAGAUGCAUGACUGCAAUUUUUCAUGACAUGGUGGAAAAAUUCAAGCAAGUUUUCAUGGAUGACUUCUCGGUUUUCGAGUCUUCUUUUGAGAAUUGUUUAACUGAUCUUGAUGUAAUGCUUGCUAGGUGUGAAAAGACCAAUUUAGACGUAAAUUGGGAAAAUGUCACUUUAUGGUCAAAGAAAGAAUUGUUUUGGGAAACAAAUAGUCAAAAGCAGAAAUAGAGGUUGACCAAGCAAAAAUUGAUGCAAUUGCUAAUCUGCUACCUCCAACUGUGGAGUUUUUUAGGAGAUGUCGGGUUUUAUAGACGAUUCAUAAAAGAUUAUUCUAAAAUUGCAUGCCCCUUAACUUAAUUACUUCUUAAAGAAGCAAAAUUUGUUUUUUCUAAUGAUUGUCUAAAUGCUUUUAACAUCUUGAAGGAAAAAUUAACCACUGCCCCAAUCAUGAUCGCACCUAAGUGGAACCUUCCAUUUGAACUUAUGUGUGAUACGAGUGACUAUGCCCUGGGAGCAGUUCCUGGCCAAAGAAUUGAAAAACGAUUUCAACCAUUUUUCUACUUUAGCAAAAUACUAUAUCCGGCUCAAGAGAACUAUACAACCAUUGAAAAGGAGUUGUUGGCUGUCGUUUAUGCUUUCAAUAAUUCCAGGCCUUAUUUAAUUUUGUCCAAAAUGAUUGUGUUCAGCGACCAUUUUGUGCUGAAAUAUCUUUAGAGUAAAUAGGAAGACAAUCCAUGACUAAUUCGAUGGGUUAUUUUAUUACAAGAGUUUGAUAUCGACAAGGAUAAGAAAGGAGUAGAAAAUGUUGCAGUCGACCACCUCUCAAGAUUAGAAAAUCCAAAGCUUGAAUAGUUGGAAUAAGAAGAAAUUGACGAUAAUUUUCCCGAUGAAUACUUAUUGCUAAUAAUAGGAAAACUAAAAUGGUUUUCAUACAUUGCUAAUUAUUUGGCAAGUUGAUAUUUGUCUAAACAUUUAAGUUAUCAACAAAAGAAAAAGUUCUUUUCCGAUUUCAAAUACUCUACUUGUUUCAUAGUUAUGUUGGGAUGAACCAUACUUGUUCCGUAGUUAUGUUUAUAACAUCAUACAAAGAUGUGUUUAGGGGAAGGAAGCAAGGGACAUCAUUUACCAUUGUCACCAAGGACCUACCGAUGGACAACAUGGAGAGCAUUACAAUACGAGGAAAAUAUUUGAUACAGAAUUCUAUUGGCCCGCAAUUUUAAGGACACAACUUUAUUUUUCAUAGAAUGUGACUCAUGCAAAAUGUUUAGGAACUAUUUAAGCUCGUAACGAGAUGCACCAAAACAUCAUUCGGGUAUGUGAAGUUUUUAACAUAUGGGGAAUUGACUUUAUGGGACCAUUUCCAGCCUUAAAAGGUAAUAAAUAUAUUUUAGUAGCAGUCGACUAUGUGUCUAAAUAGGCAGAGGCACAAGCCCUUCUUACUAAUGAUGUGAGAGUAGUACUCAUGUUUCUCAAAAAUUUGUUUUCUCCUUUUGGUAUGCAUAAAGCAUUAAUAAGUGAUAGAUGUACUCAUUUUUGUAAUGAACAACUCUUGUAGGUAUUACAGAAAUAUGGUGUACACCUUAGGUUUGCAACACGUUAUCAUCCUCAAACAAGUGGGCAAAUUGAAGUCAUAAAUCGAGCAUUUAAAAGAAUUUUGGAACGAUCGACGGGUAGUAAUAAGAAAGAAUGGUCGUAAAAACUCAACGAUGCGUUAGGGGCAUUUCGCACCAUUUUUAAAACACCUAUUGGUACUACUCCAUAUAGGUUGGUAUAUGGUAAAAAUUGUCAUCUUCAAGUGGAAAUUGAGCGCAAAGCUUAUUGAGCACUCAAGACUUACAAUUUUUAAUUACCAGAAUUAAGAACAAACUGAUUCAUCCAACUGAAUACUUAAGAAGAGCUGACGAAUGAAUCAUACGCCAAUUUGCUUAAUUAUAAGAAUAAAACCAAGAAAUGGAACGAUGCAAGAUUAAGGGGAAAUAAAAAUUUCCAACCAGGAAAAAAGGUGUUAGGCUUCAACUCUAGAUUAAAACUAUUUCCUAGAAAAUUAAGAAACUGAUGAUAUGGGACUUAUGUCAUAAAAGAUGUAUAUCCUCAUGGAGCAAGCGAAUUAUCCACAAAAGAAGGAUGAAAAUUUAAAGUUAAUGGGAAUCAAGUCAAACAUUACGAGGCAGGGAUACCAGAUGAAGACAUUAAAGAAGAAGAAGUAAAUUUUGACACGUCUACUACAAGAGUUGAUCUUGGUACCUUUUUUCUGUCCAUGCAAGAUUUGAUGCUUUGGUUCGUGUAUUAAGUUAGGGUUUUGGUGUAUGGACUCCUUCUUGCCAUGGAAAGUCAUAAAUUUGGAAACUUUAUGACUUAGAAUGUUACUUGGAACUAGAUUUGAGGUUUGGAAAUGAGAUCUUAAUGAAAUAAGCACUUAAUGAAAGAAAAUGGAACUAGACGAGUACGUUGGGUGUACCUGGUGGUAUGUUGAGUGUACCAGGAUGGAGCCCCAUAACCAUGAAGGGAUCUAGAUAAAGGUAUAGUAGACGUAAGUUUUGACACGUCUAUUGCAUUUAAAGUUAAUGGGCAUCAAGUCAAACAUUAUGAGACAGAGAUACUAAACGAAGACACUAAAAAAGAAGAAGUAAGUUUUGACACGUCUAUUGCAACAGUUGAUCUUUGUCCAUUUCUUCCGUCCAUGCAAGAGUUGAUGCCUUUGUUCGUGUAUUAAGUUAGGGUUUUGGUGUAUAGACUCCUUCUUGCCAUGGAAAGUCAUAAAUUUGGAAACUUUAUGACUUAGAAUAUUACUUGGAACUAGAUUUGAGCUUUGUACAUGAGAUCUUAAUGAAAAAGGCACUUAAUGAAAACAAAUGGAACUAGACGAGUACGUUAGGUGUACCUGGUGGUAUGUUGAGUGUACCAGGCUGGAGCCCCAUAACCAGGAAAGGAUCUACUAUGCUGAGCGUAGUGACUGAGUAUGUUGGGCGUACUCAGUCUGUGUUGACCUUCUUUGACUUUUUGACUCGUUGACAAAGAAUUUGACAAAGUUUGUCUUAUAUGCAUUUUGGGUAUUUUAAAUAGUAGUUUGAGGUUAGGUCAUUGUUUGCUAUAUAGGUGACAUGUAGAGUUGGAAUUUGGAGCAACAUUCAUUUUUUUCUAUCUUUCAGACUGUGAGGUGAGUUUUCCUCACUAUACUUGGGGGUCGAUGACACCAAUGUCGACCUAGUAUAUGGUGUAUUCUAGUUUGAAUUAUUGCUAUACUAUGUUGAACUAUUAAGAUCUACAUGCUUAUCUGGUUGUUGUUAUGUGUUUUAUAUGUUAUAUAUGUUGAGAUAGUGUGGUUGGGUUGAGACUAUAAUGCUUUGCGCUACCAGUCAAAAAACCCGGGUAAUCUAACUGAAAGGUUGUGGGCUAGGGCAAUCCAACUGGAAGGUUGUGAGCCAGGGGUAUUCCAAUCAGGAGGUUGUGGACCCAAUAUGUAUUAGGCAAUCCACGUGAAAGCUUGUGGGCCAGGGUAAUCCAACCAGAAGGUUAUGGGCCAGGGGUAAUCCGACCUGGAGCUUGUGGACCCAAUAUGUGUUUUGUAUAUGUUCUGUUGUGUGGUGUCACUUUAGGGAACUCACUAAGUUUUGACUUACAGUUUCAGUUUUAUGUUUCAAGUAGUUUAGAUGAUUGGCGCAAUGCGAAGACUUGAUUGUGCACAUCAUCUUGGAUUUGUAUGAGAUUAUAAUUUUGAGAAACUCUGAUUCAUGUUUAUGACUUUUGGAAACUAUGAUUUGUAAAAGCUUAUGGUUUUUGAUUGGUUUCAAAAAUGAAAAAUUUUACCUUGAUUUUUGAGAUGUUACAGUUUUGAUUUAAUUUUUUUCAUAAGUUUCUAUUCACCAAGUUUAACCAAAUUUUGUUUGACAAUUUGUACGAAGUGCUUAACUUGUAUUAUUGUUAUACUAACAACUAUGAUUAAAACAUAAUGAUGAAAUAAAUAAAAUGAGUUUUAUGAUAUUAACCAUAAACAUUAAUAUAUCAAUGGAUAGAGAUAUUGCAUUAUUUAUAUAUUUAUUUUUUUAAAGAGACAUGGUGUAUAACGGUACAUAUAACAUGAUUCUUUUGAUAAACGAUCAAACAAAUCAUGUCUACUUCAAAGUAGAUAGGGUUAGAAACUUUUCCCUUUUUAUUAUAAAAGUUGCAUUUAUGUUCCAAGAUCAUCAGUUACCGCCAAUGAUAACAUGUUCGAUAGCAUCACCUCUUACUCCACCUUUAUAUAUGUUAGUACUAUUCCUGGAAACUCCUUCAACCAUCAUGGAUCAAUUGGUUAGAAAGUUCAGAAUGCAACCUAUUAUUUGUUGACCAAUAGGUCUUAUAAGUGCAAGGUUCAAUUGUGGAAAUUGUUCCAUGAGCGAUUUUUUAAUAUAAUCCUCAAGUUCUCCUUUAAAAUCGUCACUUAGCCCUUGUGGAAGAAGACUCUCCACAUGUUCUCCUUGGUGAAUUGUUUCUCUUACUCCACAUGAUAUGUUCGUUGUGGAAUCACAACUAACCUGGUCCAUUCGGUUUCCAUAUCCAACAACUAUAUUGUCCUCUCCAAUAAGAUUUCGGCAGCAAACAUUGUCAAUCUUAAAAACAAACAACAAAAAAACACAAAAACAAUAGAUUUAAGAAACAUCAUAAUUUUUUUUGGAUCUUCUAUUCAUGAUAUGAAUUAAGUGACUGCAAAUCACAUGGUAUAUAUAGGAUUGUAUUCAUGAUAUUAUUACGUACAACAUAUAUAUAUAUAUAUAUNNNNNNNNNNNNNNNNNNNNNNNNNNNNNNNNNNNNNNNNNNNNNNNNNNNNNNNNNNNNNNNNNNNNNNNNNNNNNNNNNNNNNNNNNNNNNNNNNNNNNNNNNNNNNNNNNNNNNNNNNNNNNNNNNNNNNNNNNNNNNNNNNNNNNNNNNNNNNNNNNNNNNNNNNNNNNNNNNNNNNNNNNNNNNNNNNNNNNNNNNNNNNNNNNNNNNNNNNNNNNNNNNNNNNNNNNNNNNNNNNNNNNNNNNNNNNNNNNNNNNNNNNNNNNNNNNNNNNNNNNNNNNNNNNNNNNNNNNNNNNNNNNNNNNNNNNNNNNNNNNNNNNNNNNNNNNNNNNNNNNNNNNNNNNNNNNNNNNNNNNNNNNNNNNNNNNNNNNNNNNNNNNNNNNNNNNNNNNNNNNNNNNNNNNNNNNNNNNNNNNNNNNNNNNNNNNNNNNNNNNNNNNNNNNNNNNNNNNNNNNNNNNNNNNNNNNNNNNNNNNNNNNNNNNNNNNNNNNNNNNNNNNNNNNNNNNNNNNNNNNNNNNNNNNNNNNNNNNNNNNNNNNNNNNNNNNNNNNNNNNNNNNNNNNNNNNNNNNNNNNNNNNNNNNNNNNNNNNNNNNNNNNNNNNNNNNNNNNNNNNNNNNNNNNNNNNNNNNNNNNNNNNNNNNNNNNNNNNNNNNNNNNNNNNNNNNNNNNNNNNNNNNNNNNNNNNNNNNNNNNNNNNNNNNNNNNNNNNNNNNNNNNNNNNNNNNNNNNNNNNNNNNNNNNNNNNNNNNNNNNNNNNNNNNNNNNNNNNNNNNNNNNNNNNNNNNNNNNNNNNNNNNNNNNNNNNNNNNNNNNNNNNNNNNNNNNNNNNNNNNNNNNNNNNNNNNNNNNNNNNNNNNNNNNNNNNNNNNNNNNNNNNNNNNNNNNNNNNNNNNNNNNNNNNNNNNNNNNNNNNNNNNNNNNNNNNNNNNNNNNNNNNNNNNNNNNNNNNNNNNNNNNNNNNNNNNNNNNNNNNNNNNNNNNNNNNNNNNNNNNNNNNNNNNNNNNNNNNNNNNNNNNNNNNNNNNNNNNNNNNNNNNNNNNNNNNNNNNNNNNNNNNNNNNNNNNNNNNNNNNNNNNNNNNNNNNNNNNNNNNNNNNNNNNNNNNNNNNNNNNNNNNNNNNNNNNNNNNNNNNNNNNNNNNNNNNNNNNNNNNNNNNNNNNNNNNNNNNNNNNNNNNNNNNNNNNNNNNNNNNNNNNNNNNNNNNNNNNNNNNNNNNNNNNNNNNNNNNNNNNNNNNNNNNNNNNNNNNNNNNNNNNNNNNNNNNNNNNNNNNNNNNNNNNNNNNNNNNNNNNNNNNNNNNNNNNNNNNNNNNNNNNNNNNNNNNNNNNNNNNNNNNNNNNNNNNNNNNNNNNNNNNNNNNNNNNNNNNNNNNNNNNNNNNNNNNNNNNNNNNNNNNNNNNNNNNNNNNNNNNNNNNNNNNNNNNNNNNNNNNNNNNNNNNNNNNNNNNNNNNNNNNNNNNNNNNNNNNNNNNNNNNNNNNNNNNNNNUAUAUAUAUAUAUAUAUAUAUGUUGUGACAACCCGAAAUUUCUAUUAUGUACAGUCAAACACUUCAUAGAAAGUCAAACUCAUUUCUGCCACCUUUUAGCACGUUUGGUGUCCGUUUGAGCAUUCUGAGCUUUAACCCUUCGAGAGGUAAACAUAAGACUUAUACUCUAGGUCAUAUUGUGCAUCAUGGAAGUCUCAAAACUCCAAGAGUUUGGAGUUUACGGCCCAAACAUUAAGUUUAAAAAAACGUAAACUCCAUGGGGUAUAUAUAUGGCACUUAGCCAUUUUAGCUUCAUUUCUUCCAUUUUCAACUAGAGAAAACCUGAUUUCUCUCCCAAGGAUCUUCAAGCUUUCGUCCCAAAUUGUAAGUACUUCUACCCUAGAGUGUUUUAAAGCUUAUUACAUGUCUAGAUAUCAUUGAAAUUGUCACACCCCAAAACCAAGAACGGCGGAAACAUUCUAGGACGGAGGACGUCAUGUAAAGCAUCACAACACAGUAAAAGUAAACAAGCAAACAACAUCAUCCAUUGCAUUAAAUAUAUAAUUUUAAUACAAGUGUGUUAUGUAUAGUUAUAGACACCAAAAUAAUGUAAAUCAAAAUAAUAAGAUGGGUCUUGGAUGCGCUCCAUCUUCUCAAAAGCUGGCCUCGGAACCUGUCUACCGAUGACCUGAGAAUACAAGUUAUUUUGAAAGAGUUUAUUAGCAUUAAGCUGGUGAGUUCAUAAGUAUUUAGUGUCGGUGUUUGUUAUCAAAAUUUUGAACGUGUCUUAAGUGUAAGUUUGUAAAAUGUAUGUAAAUGUUUGUAAGUGUUUGUAAAAGUUUGAAUCUCUCAGAAAAACCUAUAUUUUCUAUUAAAGUAGCCUUCUACCAAGGCUUAACUGUUUUGUAUGUUCGUUUGUUGUAAAAGUGUGUAAUUUCCCAAGUGUAACUAUCAUUAACAAAAUAUAGUUUGUACAUUAAUGUUUAAGUGAAUUAAUCACUAAAUAUAUGUAAGGGGUAAAUUAUUGUAGUACUGCAGUGUUGUAUUAUAGGAACUACUGUUUUACUAACUACCUUAAACCGGAUUUAUAUUAAGGUAUCAUGUGAUAAAUUGUACCAUACUAUCGACUGGAUAAACAACGACAAAUGUAGGUCGUAAAAAGAAAUGACGUUUGGCACCCACAGACCUGCAGGUCCGGCUGUAGCUAGCAGCAAGGUGUAGGAUAGUCAAUCCAGUAUAGAUCUAUACGCAAACUCAUGCCCUCCCUUCAAGAGACUCUGGCAACAACUCGGGGCAUGACAUUGAAGGCAUGCUCCGAUACAGUGGAUCACAAUUAUGUCAACGUAUUCAUGUAUAUGUAAUGUAAUGAACCGUUCUAGUAUAGUUGUAUAUGUUCUUUCUCUAGUAUAGUUGAAUAUGUUCUCCUAUUAGUAUAGUUGUAUAUGUUCUCCUUCUAGUAUAGUUAUAUAUGUUCUCUAUCUAGUAUAGUUGUAUAUGUUCUCCUUCUAGUAUAGUUGUAUAUGUUCUCAUAGUAAUAAGUAUUGACUCAUGAAUGAACUGACUCAUUGAUCUAGCAAUAGUAUAAGUAUGAUCCUGUGCUACCCCGAUGGUAGCCUAUUAAUGAUGUAACUAGUACGCAUGAAUAUGGAAGCACUUUUAUGUCUAUAUAUGUACACAUGAUAUAUAAUUAAUAUUUAAACGACCUUCGGACGAGUACCCGAUAUCCUAUCAGACCACAUCCAAAUCAAGGAAAAGGAAAGAAGGUGGAUAGCCUUCCUAAGUCUUUUAAACAUUACUUAUAUAACUAUACAUAUACGGGCAUGCUAUUUUUAAUAAGUGUAACAAAGUUUAAGUAAAACUAUUUGAUACGUAAAAGAGUUUGUAAAAUAGUUUGAAGUAAAAUAGUUUGAUAAACAGUGUGAACAGUAAUAAAAUCAUUGGUUUUAUAGUUAUUAAUCACAUGUGAUUGAUGUAAUAACUAUAAGUAUUUAACUUGUAUCCCUCCCCAUAAAAGCAUUUAAAACAUUUAAAAGUAUUUCAAAGGUUAAUUAAAGGGGUAUGAACUCACUUGGGGUGAGUGGAUUGGAUGGAGUGUCGGAUACUCUUUUAGGUGGCAAACAGAGACUUGUACACACGCAUGAGGCUAGUUAUCAUAUAAUGAACAUGUAUAUAACAAAUUAGCCAAAUAAUAACUAAUAAAUUUAGUUGGGACACUCUUGAACAUGUAAACACCUUGUAUAGGUGUUAUAAGUCUUAAGGGUUGCAGCUAAGUUUUUGUGGGACAAGGCUAAAGGGGUUUAAAGUUCCCAAGGGCCUUAUACUUGAGUUUACUCUCCAUAUAACCUCACACAUGGAGUUUAUGGUUNGGAGUUUACGGUUGUAAACUCUUGAGUUUACGGCCGUAAACUCCAAGACUUAAUGUCUUUGGUUGUUUUGAGGUGUUAAAUGAUCCCAAGAAGUAUUCCAACUUGGUGGUUUAAUCCUUGGACUAGUUUAGGGCAUAGAAAGACUCCUUUGAGGAGUUUACGGCCCCAAGGCCAAUUCCUUUGGAUUUUACGGCCGUAAAUUCCCUUGGAAUGAUGUUUUUGAUGCGUUCAAGUCCCUUACUCACAUAGGAUAUGUUCUAGGCAAUUGUUUAAGGCAAAUGAAGACCCUAGGCACACUUUUGAGCCCUUUAUUGAUGUUCACGGCCCAAGAAUAUUACUAGGGCUGUAAACUCUCAUUGGGGAGGUGUCUUUGAUGUUUUAAAGUCCACAAGUUAGCUAGGAUUAAAUAGGGUUUAAUGUCCAAGGCUUUAGGAGUGAUUAACACACUCUUUGGCCCUUGAUUUUGGAGUUCAUGGUCCAAGAACUUCUUGGGCCGUGAACACCUAGAUCUUGGUGUUCUUGAUUGUUUUCUAGUCUUAAACACACUUAUAUACAAGCCUAAGUUCGUUACCUAACAUGGGGAAGAGGUUAGGUAGCAUUUAAGCCACAUUUUGGAGUUUACUCUCCAAGAACGUUCUUGGGCGGUAAACUCCUGAAUCUCAUAGAUUUGAUAUGUAAACUAAGUUAUUAAGCACAUAAUAAGCAUUAUAAGACAACUAGAGAAGUGUACUCACGAUUUGGGGUGAAAACCCGAAGAUCCGUGAGAGAGAAAAUGGCUUUUCUCUCGUUGGAAAUGCGAAUAAUGAAUGAAUUUGGUUCAGAAUUCUAUUUAUAGUCCUGAGAUAUUUUUGGCAGAAAAUAUUUUUAUUCUCGAAAUGAUUUCUAAUAUAACAGAGUGUUGGAAUAACAGUGUUGCACAAAACCCUAGUGCAUCCACUCUCCUGAUAUUUCCUGAAGUGUAAACCCUGAAGUACUCAAACUUAUAUGAAAAUGUCUGAAAAUUAACUAUGACUGUUAUAACUUCUAUUGAAGUGAUAUUGUUUGUACAGAAUGGAAAUUUUGGGUUGUUACAUCAUCCCCCCGUUAGAAGGAAUUUCCUCCCAAAUUUAGAAUUUAAGCAAAUAAGAAGUUACAAAUAACUAAGCGAAAAGAUGAGGAUAUUUCAGUUUCAUCUGAUCCUCGCGUUCCCAAGUGAAUUUCGGUCCUCACUUGGCGUUCCAAUGAACCUUCACGAUUGGGAUACGGCUUUGCUUCGUCUGCUUGACCUCACGGUCGAUGAUCUCUACCGGUUCUUCCACGAAGUUGAGUCUCUUGUUGAUCUCGAUCUCAUCGAGUGGGAUUACAAGAGUCUCGUCGGACAGACACUUUUUCAAGUUAGAUACGUGGAAUGUAGAAUGUAUGUUAUGGAGUUCGUCGGGUAGGUUGAGUUUGUAAGCUACGGGACCGAUUCUUGCGAGAAUCUCGAAGUGCCCCAUGUACCUCAGAUUAUGCUUCCCACGCUUACCGAAGCGUAUCAAGCCUUUCCAAGGUGAGACUUUGAGAAGGACUCGGUCUCCUACCUAGAAUUCCAAAGGUUUCCUUCGCUUAUCAGCGUAGCUCUUCUGUCGGUCUCUAGAUGCUUUCAAUCGUUCACGGAUCUGAACGAUUUUCUCUGUCGUUUCCCGAAUGAUCUCUGGACCGGUGAGAGUACUAUCAGAAGCUUGCCCCCUAGCUAAUUGGGUAUCACCCACCUCAGCCCAGCAUAGAGGGGAUCUACACCUUCGGCCGUAGAGGGCUUCAAAUGGAGCAGCCUUGAUGCUCGUGUGAUAACUGUUAUUAUAAGAAAACUCGACAAGGGGUAAGUGAGUAUCCCAUGCCUUUCCAAAGUCGAUCACACAGGCUCUCAGCAUAUCUUCCAGUGUUGGGAUGGUCCUCUCACUCUGUCCGUCGUUCUGUGGAUGGUAGGCUGUGCUCAUUUCCAGCCUUGUUCCCAGGGAGUGUUGUAGCGAUUGCCAUAAUCUUGAGGUGAACCAACUAUCUCUAUCGGAGAUAAUGGAUAUAGGUACACCAUGUAGUCGUACGAUCUCCCUAAUGAGCUCAUUUCCAGCCUUGUUCCCAGGGAGUGUUGUAGCGAUUGCCAUAAUCUUGAGGUGAACCAACUAUCUCUAUCGGAGAUAAUGGAUAUAGGUACACCAUGUAGUCGUACGAUCUCCCUAAUGAAUGUUCUCGUAAGCUUCUCCAUCUUGUCAGUUUCCUUGAUAGGCAGGAAGUGUGCAGACUUGGUCAAUCUAUCGACGAUGACCCAUAUGGUAUCAAGUCCACCCGUUGUCUUGGGUAGCUUGGUUAUGAAAUCAAUAGUGAUCCGCUCCCACUUCCAUUCUGGAAUCUCUGGUUGUUGUAGUAAACUAGAGGGCUUCUGGUACUUGACCUUAACCUUUGCGCAAGUAAGACAUUUACUCACGAAGGUAGCAAUCUCUGCUUUCAUAUUAGGCCACCAGUAUAGCUUUUUAACAUCCAGAUACAUCUUAUCUGGACCUGGGUGGACGGAAUACCGAGUGUUGUGCGCCUCGGUCAUGACCAAGUCUCAGAAACAACCGCGUUUCGGUGUCUAGAUCCGGUUCAUGAAAUAUAAGGCUCCGCCACCCUUGGCUUCUAGGUUUUUAUCCAUUCCUCUAAGGGAUUCACUCAUCACAUUUUCAGGUUGCAUAGCUUCAAGCUGGGCCGCUUGAAUUUGCUUAGACAAGUGAGAAUGGAUAGUUAUUGUCAAUGACUUGACUCUUCGACCAGAAUAUUCCUUCUGACUUAGGGCGUCCGCUACUACGUUGGCUUUACCCGGAUGAUAAUGAAUUUCGCAUUCAUAGUCACUGAGUAGCUCGACCCACUGUCGUUGUCUCAUGUUGAGCUCUUUCUGAUCGAAUAUGUGUUGUAAGCUCUUGUGGUCGGUAAAGAUAGUGCUUUUCGUUCCGUACAAGUAAUGUCUCCAGAUCUUCAGAGCAAACACAAUUGCCCCUAGUUGAAGAUCGUGGGUCGUGUAGUUAACUUUGUGUGUCUUCAACUGUCUCGAGGCGUAGGCGAUGACCUUACCUCGCUGCAUCAGAACACACCCGAGCCCUUGAUUCGAUGCAUCGCAAUAGACUACGAAGUCUUCUAUUCCUUCGGGGAGGGAUAGUAUUGGUGCGGUGCACAAGGCUCGCUUGGGCGUUUGGAACGCUCACUCCUGUUUCUCUUCCCAGUCGAAGGACACGCCUUUCUGGGUCAGUGUUGCAGGAGGUUUCACAAUUCCGGAGAAGUCCUGUAUGAACCUGCGGUAGUAGCCAGCGAGACCUAGAAACUGCCUAAUUUUUGUAGGCGUCUUCGGUGCUGACCAGUUCUCAAUGGCUUUAAUUUUGGAUGGGUCCACGUGGAUUCCCUCUUCACUUACCACGUGUCCUAAGAAUUCGACUCUUCGGAUCCAAAAUUCACAUUUAGAGAACUUCGCAUAGAGCUUCUCCGUUCGUAAAGUUCCUAGAACUUGUCGCAGGUGAUCGCCAUGCUCUUCCUUACUU
rnacentral:lncRNA from 1 species